GUCUGGUCCAAGUGCAGUGCUGUUUACAACUAACGAUCACAAGCACUUACAGAUUUCUUUGUUCCUUCUCCACUCCCAAUACUUCACCUGACUAGCCUAAA
rnacentral:Y_RNA from 1 species